GACGAACGCUGGCGGCGUGCUUAACACAUGCAAGUCGAACGGAAAGGCCCUGCUUGCAGGGUACUCGAGUGGCGAACGGGUGAGUAACACGUGGGUGAUCUGCCCUGCACUUCGGGAUAAGCCUGGGAAACUGGGUCUAAUACCGGCUAGGAGCCAUUUUUAGUGUGAUGGUUGGAAAGUUUUUUCGGUGUAGGAUGAGCUCGCGGCCUAUCAGCUUGUUGGUGGGGUAAUGGCCUACCAAGGCGGCGACGGGUAGCCGGCCUGAGAGGGUGGACGGCCACACUGAGACUGAGAGACGGCCCAGACUCCUACGGGAGGCAGCAGUGGGGAAUAUUGCACAAGGGGCGCAAGCCUGAUGCAGCGACGCCGCGUGGGGGAUGACGGCCUUCGGGUUGUAAACUCCUUUCGCUAGGGACGAAGCUUUUUGUGACGGUACCUAGAUAAGAAGCACCGGCUAACUACGUG
rnacentral:rRNA from 1 species